rnacentral:snoRNA from 1 species
ACAUUAUAUGGGACAAUCUUUACAUGUUCUUCUUUUGCGAAGGUGGAUUAGAGCAAACUGCUUAGGGUUGCCUUAGCCUGUGAUUAUGACUCUGGGUAAUCAGGACUUAGAACAUCCUGAUUUCUCUUACCUGAU